GUGCCAGCCGCCGCGGUAAUACGAAGGGUGCAAACGUUGCUCGGAAUCAUUGGGCGUAAAGCGCACGUAGGCGGCCCCGUAAGUCGGAUGUGAAAUCCCUCGGCUCAACCGAGGACGUGCAUUCGAAACUGUGGGGCUCGAGUAUGGAAGAGGGUCGCAGAAUUCCCGGUGUAGAGGUGAAAUUCGUAGAUAUCGGGAGGAAUACCAGUGGCGAAGGCGGCGACCUGGGCCAAUACUGACGCUGAGGUGCGAAAGCGUGGGGAGCAAACAGGAUUAGAUACCCCCGUAGUCC
rnacentral:rRNA from 1 species